GGUCCCUUAGCUCAGCUGGUCAGAGCAUCUGACUCAUAAUCAGAGGGUCGCAGGUUCAAGCCCUGCAGGGACCACCA
rnacentral:tRNA from 1 species